AGCGGAGGAAAAGAAACCAACAGGGGAUUGCCUCAGUAACGGCGAGUGAAGCGGCAACAGCUCAAAUUUGAAAUCUGGCUUCGGUCCGAGUUGUAAUUUGCAGAGGAAGUCUCGGGUGCGAUACCGGUCUAAGUUCCUUAGAACAGGACGUCAUAGAGGGUGAGAAUCCCGUAUGCGACUGGUGGUCAACCCCAUGUGAGGCCCCUUCGACGAGUCGAGUUGUUUGGGAAUGCAGCUCAAAAUGGGUGGUAAAUUUCAUCUAAAGCUAAAUACCGGCCAGAGACCGAUAGCGCACAAGUAGAGUGAUCGAAAGAUGAAAAGCACUUUGGAAAGAGAGUUAAACAGUACGUGAAAUUGUUGAAAGGGAAGCGCUUGCAACCAGACUUGCUCGCGGGUGAUCCACCGCCCUUCGGGGUGGUCUACUCGCCCGCGAUCAGGCCAACAUCGGUUUCGGUGGCUGGAUACAGACCCCGGGAAUGUGGCUCCCUUCGGGGUGUGUUAUAGCCCGGGGUGCAAUGCAGCCCACCGGGACCGAGGACCGCGCUCCGGCUAGGAUGUUGGCGUAAUGGUUGUCAGCGACCCGUCUUGAAACACGGACCAAGGAGUCUAACAUCUAUGCGAGUGUUUGGGUGUCAAACCCAUACGCGUAAUGAAAGUGAACGGAGGUGGGAACCCCUUGGGGUGCACCAUCGACCGAUCCUGAUGUCUUCGGAUGGAUUUGAGUAUGAGCAUAGCUGUUGGGACCCGAAAGAUGGUGAACUAUGCCUGAAUAGGGUGAAGCCAGAGGAAACUCUGGUGGAGGCUCGCAGCGGUUCUGACGUGCAAAUCGAUCGUCAAAUUUGGGUAUAGGGGCGAAAGACUAAUCGAACCAUCUAGUAGCUGGACCU
rnacentral:rRNA from 1 species